rfam:Gorilla gorilla gorilla genomic chromosome, chr18, whole genome shotgun sequence
GUGCUCGUUUCAGCAGCACAUACACUAAAAUUAGACUGAUACAGAGAAGAUUAGCAUGGCCCCUGCGCAAAGAGGACACGCAAAUUUCAUUUUAAAAAAGCAAAUAAAUAUUU